rnacentral:rRNA from 1 species
GAUGAACGCUGGCGGCGUGCCUAAUACAUGCAAGUCGAGCGAAUGGAUUAAGAGCUUGCUCUUAUGAAGUUAGCGGCGGACGGGUGAGUAACACGUGGGUAACCUGCCCAUAAGACUGGGAUAACUCCGGGAAACCGGGGCUAAUACCGGAUAACAUUUUGAACCGCAUGGUUCGAAAUUGAAAGGCGGCUUCGGCUGUCACUUAUGGAUGGACCCGCGUCGCAUUAGCUCGUUGGUGAGGUAACGACUCACCAAGGCAACGAUGCGUAGCCGACCUGAGCGGGUGAUCGGCCACACUGGGACUGAGACACGGCCCAUACUCCUACGGGAGGCAGCAGUAGGGAAUCUUCCGCAAUGGACGAAAGUCUGACGGAGCAACGCCGCGUGAGUGAUAAAGGCUUUCGGGUCGUAAAACUCUGUUGUUAGGGAAGAACAAGUGCUAGUUGAAUAAGCUGGCACCUUGACGGUACCUAACCAGAAAGCCACGGCUAACUACGUGCCAGCCGCCGCGGUAA